UACAGAGGUCUCAAGCGUUGUUCGGAUUCAUUGGGCGUAAAGGGUGCGUAGGUGGCGUCGUAAGUCAGGUGUGAAAAUUUUCGGAGCUUAACUCCGAAAACUGCAUUGGAUACUGCCAUGCUAGAGUACUGGAGAGGAAACUGGAAUUUACGGUGUAGCAGUGAAAUGCGUAGAGAUCGUAAGGAAGACCAGUGGCGAAGGCGAGUUUCUGGACAGUAACUGACGCUGAGGCACGAAGGCCAGGGGAGCAAACGGG
rnacentral:rRNA from 1 species